UACAUGUAGGUAAAACUCUAAUACACAUAA
rnacentral:piRNA from 1 species